UCUCACGUACUUCCUAAGACAAGUAUUAAUAUGGUCACACCUCCUUUGCAGAAUAAUUAAGGGGUCUCAGGCCUGCAGGAUUAACCACUAAUUACCUUUGCUCUUCCUAUGGGCAGAAGCACUUGCUCUCUCCCAUGGGAACCCAGGACCACUAUGAUUACGGAGACGCUCUACUUACUCCCAUCGCUGUUAAAAUCAGAUCCAGAGCCAGAGGCCAGAAGGCCCCAAAGGUGUCUCCGGCAAAAUCUGACUUAGAAAAAAGGGAAAUCCAGACGGGUUCCCAAGACCUCACGCUGCUAGGAGCUGUGACGCCCAGUGCACGCCUACUUCAAAGAACCAUUGUGCAUCUUAAUUACAGACUUGUCCCCCUUGAGGCUGAAACGACACAACAACAGAGACAUCGUGCGUGAAAAAUACAGCAUUCGAAGAGUCGCCAAGAAAACAUCUUUUGGUGCUACUCUCCUUCCCAGAAGUUACAAGUUCCCUAUCUAGUGGUCAAGGUCUCCUGCCAAAUUGGUUAUUCCCCUCCAAAAUAAAAAGAAGCUGAGGGUGCGGUCGA